GCUGAAGCUAGCUACAGACCCUCAGGGCUCAGCUGGGAGGGAUUUAUUGGAGAAUUUCAAUCAUGGGGUCUUGGCUCAAACUUGUUGCUUCCCUCAAAAAAUCUGCCCAGAAGUUUGAUUACAUGUGGGAUUGGGGCACGAGGGGCCAGUCUGAUGAUCUCGCAAUUCAGAAUUCCACCUGGGCCUCUGGGAGUGUUGCAGCUCCGAGAGGAAGAGAACAGGACACAGGACAGCCAGCGAGAUGCAGGUUCUGACAUGAUGCGGAGUGGAAAUCUUGGACGCCUAAUGACAUAUUUCUACCCAGGAAGAAUUUUGAAUUCCGAAGGCACACUUGAUUAAAACCCCAAACCCUGAGCAGUUGCUGAUGGAACCACCCGACACUUUGACUUCUGGGUGUCAGUGCUUAAUUAAAAUAUUCACCCAGCUGCUCUUCCCUUGCCAAGGGGACCCAAAGGAAUUAAACCAAUAAGCUUAAUUCCGUUAGUUCACCUGCCUGUGUAUACAGAGACAUGGAAGACCAUUUACCAGUUCAGAAAUAAAGUGUCAGAUCCACCCAGCAAACCAAGCAUGGACCACACAGUGAACCAGUCCCCGAGAUGGACAGCAUCACCCUCUGCCAUCUCUGUUUCCAACUUGGAACACAGGCAGCUAUUUUUAAGGUCUCUUCCAGUAUGACCAAAUUGACGCACUAGUCAAUACAAGGAUUACUAUGCC
rnacentral:lncRNA from 1 species